rnacentral:tRNA from 1 species
AAGAAAGUGGCAGAGAGGUUAUGCGUCCGGCUUGAAACCUGAUUACAGGGGUUCGAUUCCCUUCUUUCUCG